rnacentral:rRNA from 1 species
CACGAACGCUGGCGGCAGGCUUAACACAUGCAAGUCGAGCGCCCCGCAAGGGGAGCGGCAGACGGGUGAGUAACGCGUGGGAAUCUACCCAUCUCUACGGAACAACGCAUGGCACCGUGUGCUAAUACCGUAUACGUCCUUCGGGAGAACGAUUUAUCGGAGAUGGGUGAGCCCGCGUUGGAUUAGCUAGUUGGUGGGGUAAAGGCCUACCAAGGCGACGAUCCAUAGCUGGUCUGAGAGGAUGAUCAGCCACACUGGGACUGAGACACGGCCCAGACUCCUACGGGAGGCAGCAGUGGGGAAUAUUGGACAAUGGGCGCAAGCCUGAUCCAGCCAUGCCGCGUGAGUGAUGAAGGCCCUAGGGUUGUAAAGCUCUUUCACCGGUGAGGAUAAUGACGGUAACCGGAGAAGAAGCCCCGGCUAACUUCGUGCCAGCCGCCGCCGUAAUAC